GACGGAGGAUGCAAGCGUUAUCCGGAAUGAUUGGGCGUAAAGCGUCCGCAGGUGGCAGUUCAAGUCUGCUGUCAAAGACCGGGGCUUAACUUCGGAAAGGCAGUGGAAACUGAACAGCUAGAGUAUGGUAGGGGCAGAGGGAAUUCCUGGUGUAGCGGUGAAAUGCGUAGAGAUCAGGAAGAACAUCGGUGGCGAAGGCGCUCUGCUGGACCGACACUGACACUGAGAGACGAAAGCUAGGGGAGCGAAUGGG
rnacentral:rRNA from 1 species